CCUACGGGGGGCAGCAGUGGGGAAUAUUGGACAAUGGGCGAAAGCCUGAUCCAGCCAUGCCGCGUGUGUGAAGAAGGCCUUCGGGUUGUAAAGCACUUUCAGUGGGGAAGAAAGCCUUGGGGCUAAUACCCUCGAGGAAGGACAUCACCCACAGAAGAAGCACCGGCUAACUCCGUGCCAGCAGCCGCGGUAAUACGGAGGGUGCGAGCGUUAAUCGGAAUUACUGGGCGUAAAGCGCGCGUAGGCGGUCUGAUAAGCCGGUUGUGAAAGCCCCGGGCUCAACCUGGGAACGGCAUCCGGAACUGUCAGGCUAGAGUGCAGGUGAGGAAGGUAGAAAUCCCGGUGUAGCGGUGAAAUGCGUAGAGAUCGGGAGGAAUACCAGUGGCGAAGGCGGCCUUCUGGACUGACACUGACGCUGAGGUGCGAAAGCGUGGGUAGCAAACAGGAUUAGAUACCCGUGUAGGC
rnacentral:rRNA from 1 species